CCAGACUCCUACGGGAGGCAGCAGUGGGGAAUAUUGGGCAAUGGGCGCAAGCCUGACCCAGCAACGCCGCGUGAAGGAAGAAGGCUUUCGGGUUGUAAACUUCUUUUCUCAGGGACGAAGAAAGUGACGGUACCUGAGGAAUAAGCCACGGCUAACUACGUGCCAGCAGCCGCGGUAAUACGUAGGUGGCAAGCGUUAUCCGGAUUUAUUGGGUGUAAAGGGCGUGUAGGCGGGAGCGCAAGUCAGAUGUGAAAACUCAGGGCUCAACCCUGAGCCUGCAUUUGAAACUGUGUUUCUUGAGUGCUGGAGAGGCAAUCGGAAUUCCUAGUGUAGCGGUGAAAUGCGUAGAUAUUAGGAGGAACACCAGUGGCGAAGGCGACUUUCUGGACAGUAACUGACGUUGAGGCACGAAAGUGUGGGGAGCAAACAGGAUUAGAUACCCCCGUA
rnacentral:rRNA from 1 species